GGUACCUGGAUGGAGGCCUGAGUCUGGAUCACUUUAAGAGACCUGUGUUUUUGGAUUUCUGAGUAACCAGCAAGCUCUCUUUUGUCAGCGUCCUGCCCAGGCAAAGGGCUUGCAGCAUGUUAACCUCUCCUUCUGGCUGAAGAUAGCUAGACUUCUCCUUCAAGAACUGGUCCACAAGGGCACGCUGAAGAGGGAUACCAGGAUUAAGGAGGCAGAUAAAGAAGCAACCACCAUCCUUUAUCGCAAACUGGAAUCCCAAAUUUUGUACUACCGUUUGAUCACCAGGUGCAGGAACUCUUACAAUUUAACCCAACUUUGGCACCACAAAGGGUCCUGGCUCCAAGUUAGAGAAAUCAAUCAAGAGGAAGAGAAAGCUACCUAUUGAAUCAAGAUCUCUGACUGCUGCUCCUGGAUAGGACACCUCCAAGAAAUAGCUAAGUUCUGACCAGAUCCAAACUUGAAGAGAACAGCUUCCUUUUUCCCCUGGGAGACCUGACUGCAAGAUUGGCUGAAGUUAGAUUGUGUAAUUAAGUAAGCAAACAUAUGUCAGCUCAGGACUGGUAACUAUCUGUGAAAAAUAGAAGCAUCCAAAGAGAUUUUGCUACAAAGGGCAUAAAACCAACCUGCCCUGCCUUCAGUGUAAUUUUGAUGCUAUAACUCCCAAAAUGGAGCA